GGGGUUGUGGCUCAAAGGUAGAGCGCUUGCCUAGGAUGCAUGAGGCACUGGGUUCAAUCUCCAGCACCA
rnacentral:tRNA from 1 species